GAUGAACGCUGGCGGCGUGCCUAAUACAUGCCAGUCGAGCGAACGGACGAGAAGCUUGCUUCUCUGAUGCUAGCGGCGGACGGGUGAGUAACACGUGGAUAACCUACCUAUAAGACUGGGAUAACUUCGGGAAACCGGAGCUAAUACCGGAUAAUAUUUUGAACCGCAUGGUUCAAAAGUGAAAGACGGUCUUGCUGUCACUUAUAGAUGGAUCCGCGCUGCAUUAGCUAGUUGGUAAGGUAACGGCUUACCAAGGCAACGAUGCAUAGCCGACCUGAGAGGGUGAUCGGCCACACUGGAACUGAGACACGGUCCAGACUCCUACGGGAGGCAGCAGUAGGGAAUCUUCCGCAAUGGGCGAAAGCCUGACGGAGCAACGCCGCGUGAGUGGUGAAGGUCUUCGGAUCGUAAAACUCUGUUAUUAGGGAAGAACAUAUGUGUAAGUAACUGUGCACAUCUUGACGGUACCUAAUCAGAAAGCCACGGCUAACUACGUG
rnacentral:rRNA from 1 species